rnacentral:rRNA from 1 species
GUGCCCGCUCACCCGGGACGCGGCGGACGGCUCAGGACAACGGUUGCACCCCCCGCGGCGGUCCCUGCUAGCCGGACACCGCUGGCAACCCGGCGCCAAGACGUGCGCGCAAGGGCGGGCGCCCGCGGGCGAGCAGCGUGACGCAGCGACGGCCCGCCCGGGCUUCCGGGGC